GACGAACGCUGGCGGCGUGCCUAACACAUGCAAGUCGAACGGAGAUAUGCGAACGAGGCCUUCGGGCGGAGAUUGCAUAUUUUAGUGGCGGACGGGCGAGUAACGCGUGAGCAACCUGCCCUUCAGAGGGGGAUAACGGCUGGAAACGGCCGCUAAUACCGCAUGACAUAUACACAAGGCAUCUUGAGUAUAUCAAAGGAGGAAUCCGCUGAAGGAUGGGCUCGCGUCCGAUUAGCUGGUUGGUGAGGUAACGGCUCACCAAGGCGACGAUCGGUAGCCGAACUGAGAGGUUGAUCGGCCGCAUUGGGACUGAGACACGGCCCAGACUCCUACGGGAGGCAGCAGUGGGGGAUAUUGCACAAUGGAGGAAACUCUGAUGCAGCGACGCCGCGUGGGGGAAGAAGGUCUUCGGAUUGUAAACCUCAGUAGUCAGGGAAGAAGCAAGUGACGGUACCUGAAGAGUAAGCUCCGGCUAACUACGUGCCAGC
rnacentral:rRNA from 1 species